rnacentral:rRNA from 1 species
GAUGCACUACGGGACGCAGCAGUGGGGAAUAUUGCACAAUGGGGGAAACCCUGAUGCAGCGACGCCGCGUGGGUGACGAAGUAUUUCGGUAUGUAAAGCCCUAUCAGCAGGGAAGAAGAUGACAGUACCUGACUAAGAAGCCCCGGCUAACUACGUGCCAGCAGCCGCGGUAAUACGUAGGGGGCAAGCGUUAUCCGGAUUUACUGGGUGUAAAGGGAGCGUAGGGGGCAUGGCAAGCCAGAAGUGAAAACCCGGGG